UACGGAGGGUGCAAACGUUGCUCGGAAUCAUUGGGCGUAAAGCGCACGUCGGCGGUUCGUUAUGUCGGAUGUGAAAUCCCUCGGCUCAACCGAGGAAGGGCAUCCGAAACUGGCGUGCUUGAGUAUGGAAGAGGGUCUCGGAAUUCCCGGUGUAGCGGUGAAAUGCGUAGAUAUCUGGAGGAACACCGGUGGCGAAGGCGGCAUCCUGGACCAACACUGACACUGAGGAGCGAAAGCCAGGGGAGCAAACGGG
rnacentral:rRNA from 1 species